rnacentral:rRNA from 1 species
AUUGAACGCUGGCGGCAGGCUUAACACAUGCAAGUCGAGCGGGGGAAGGUAGCUUGCUACCGGACCUAGCGGCGGACGGGUGAGUAAUGCUUAGGAAUCUGCCUAUUAGUGGGGGACAACAUCUCGAAAGGGAUGCUAAUACCGCAUACGUCCUACGGGAGAAAGCAGGGGAUCUUCGGACCUUGCGCUAAUAGAUGAGCCUAAGUCGGAUUAGCUAGGUGGUGGGGUAAAGGCCUACCAAGGCGACGAUCUGUAGCGGGUCUGAGAGGAUGCUCCGCCACACUGGGACGGGGACACGGCCCAGACGCCGACGGGAGGCAGCAGUGGGGAAUAUUGGACAAUGGGGGGAACCCUGAUCCAGCCAUGCCGCGUGUGUGAAGAAGGCCUUAUGGUUGUAAAGCACUUUAAGCGAGGAGGAGGCUACUUUAGUUAAUACCUAGAGAUAGUGGACGUUACUCGCAGAAUAAGCACCGGCUAACUCUGUGCCAGCCGCCGCAGUAA